rnacentral:lncRNA from 1 species
GGGGUCAGCCAUUAGCUUCUGUGGGCGUGGCUCCAGAGCAGCCUCUGGCUCAGCAGCACUCAGGCUUGGCCCCGGGGGUCCUGCACCUGUCCUGGUUCUUUGUCCAGCAUGAUUGUACAGUGUGACUCCCAUGCGAGUGAUGGGAACACGGCGUUGAACAGGCAAUGGAAACCCCAACUAAGACAUCCAUUCUCAAGAUGUCUCUGUCCAUCGAUAAUGACUGACAAUAGUCUACCCAGGGAUCACCAGGGCAGGAACAGGUACCCCAUUUAUUCUGCCUCGAUAUCUGCCUUCUAUGUUGACUUUGAAAAUGGAAACAGAGACUAUUUUGGGUGUGGGGGUAGGUGUCCCACCACACUCACGCCUUCAGAGAAAUUAGAUACCAGCACGGCACCCAGUCCUUAAGGCAUCUGGAAGACGGAGAGAACCAUAGAGAUGAGAAGAUGAGCAAAGGUGUUUGCUACCAAACCGGAUUUCCUGAGUUUGAUCCUUGAAACACACAUGGUGGAAGGAGAAAAAGGUCUCCCACAAGUUGUCCUUUGACCUCUAUACAUGGGGUAUGCCACACAUGUGCACAUACACUGAAUGGAUAGAUGGUGGAUGGAUGGAUGGAUGGAUGGAUGGAUGGAUGGAUGGAUGGAUGGAUGGAUGGUGGAUGGGUGGGUGGGUUGGUGGGUCAAUGGA